GUCCAAUUGACCUCUAGCGGUCUGGGGUGCAGGCUUCAAACCUGUAGUCGACUAACGUCGAAGUGGUUCAAUUCCACCUGUUGGAC
rnacentral:tRNA from 1 species